rnacentral:rRNA from 1 species
CUGCACCUACGGGGCGCAGCAGUGGGGAAUAUUGCACAAUGGGGGAAACCCUGAUGCAGCAACGCCGCGUGAAGGAAGACGGUUUUCGGAUUGUAAACUUCUUUUCUUAGUGAAGAAGCAAGUGACGGUAGCUAAGGAAUAAGCAUCGGCUAACUACGUGCCAGCAGCCGCGGUAAUACGUAGGAUGCGAGCGUUAUCCGGAACUACUGGGUGUAACGGGAGCGCAGGCGGGACUGCAAGUUGGAUGUGAAAUACUGCAGCUUAACUGCGGAGCUGCAUCCAAAACUGUAGUUCUUGAGUGGAGG